rnacentral:rRNA from 1 species
GACGAACGCUGGCGGCGUGCUUAACACAUGCAAGUCGAACGGACAGGCCCUGCUUUUGCUGGUUGCUCGAGUGGCGAACGGGUGAGUAACACGUGUGUAACCUGCCCUUGUCUUUGGGAUAUCUUCAGGAGACUGGGGCUAAUACAGGAUAGGAGCUCCUGCUGCAUGGUGGGCGUUGGUAAGUUUCGGCGGUUGGGGCUGGACUCGCGGCUUAUCCGCUUGUUGGUGAGGUAGUGGCUUACAAAGGCUUUGACGGGUAGCCGGCCUGAGAGCGUGACCGGGGACAAUGGUACUAAGGGACGGCGCAGAAGCCUACGUGAGGCAGUAGGGGAGAACAUGGCACAACGGGCGCAAGUCUGAGGCAGCGACGCCGCGAGCGGGAUAACGGGCUACUAGGUGAAAACAGCUGUCGCCGGUGACGAAGCGGGAGUGACGGUAAUUGGUAAAGAAGCACCGGCUAACUACGUG